UAAUUUUGAACAAAACUUUUG
rnacentral:piRNA from 1 species